rnacentral:miRNA from 1 species
AAGAUAUGUAAACCUUGAGGGCUA